rnacentral:tRNA from 1 species
GCCUGGGUGGCUCAGUCAGUUGAGCACUUGACUUUGGCUCAGGUCAUGAUCUCAGGGUUUGUGAGUUCGAGCCCCACAUUGGGCU